AUUGAACGCUGGCGGCAGGCCUAACACAUGCAAGUCGAGCGAGCGGCGGACGGGCGCGUAAUGUCUGGGAAACUGCCUGAUGGAGGGGGAUAACUACUGGAAACGGUAGCUAAUACCGCAUACCAUAAUAUCUUCCCUGAUGGGAUUAGCUAGUAGGUGGGGUAAUGGCUCACCUGGGAGACGAUGCCUAGCGGGUCUGAGAGGAUGACCAGCCACACUGGAACGGAGACACGGGCCGGACGCCUAGGGAGGGCAGCGGUGGGGAAUAUUGCACAAUGGGCGCAAGCCUAAGGCAGCCAUGCGGGGGGUGGGAAGAAGGCCUUCGGGUUGAAAAGCACGUUAUGCGAGGAGGCGUUCUCGCAGAAAAGCACCGGCUAACUCCGUGCCAGCAGCCGCGGUAAUUC
rnacentral:rRNA from 1 species